AGCGAACGCUGGCGGCAGGCUUAACACAUGCAAGUCGAGCGCCCCGCAAGGGGAGCGGCAGACGGGAGAGUAACACGUGGGAACAUACCUUUUGGUUCGGAACAACUGAGGGAAACUUCAGCUACUACCGGAUAAGCCCUUACGGGGAAAGAUUUAUCGCCGAAAGAUUGGCCCGCGUCUGAUUAGCUAGUUGGUGAGGUAACGGCUCACCAAGGCGACGAUCAGUAGCUGGUCUGAGAGGAUGAUCAGCCUCACUGGGACUGAGACACGGCCCAGACUCCUACGGGAGGAAGCAGUGGGGAAUAUUGGACAAUGGGGGCAACACUGAGCCAGCCAUGCCGCGUGAGUGAUGAAGGACUUAGGGUUGUAAAGCUCUUUUGACCGGGAAGAUAAUGACGGUACCGGGAGAAUAAGCCCCGGCUAACUUCGUG
rnacentral:rRNA from 1 species